UAAUACCGGAUAGGAGCGCCCACCGCAUGGUGGGUGUUGGAAAGAUUUAUCGGUUUUGGAUGGACUCGCGGCCUAUCAGCUUGUUGGUGAGGUAAUGGCUCACCAAGGCGACGACGGGUAGCCGGCCUGAGAGGGUGACCGGCCACACUGGGACUGAGACACGGCCCAGACUCCUACGGGAGGCAGCAGUGGGGAAUAUUGCACAAUGGGCGCAAGCCUGAUGCAGCGACGCCGCGUGAGGGAUGACGGCCUUCGGGUUGUAAACCUCUUUCAGUAGGGAAGAAGCGAAAGUGACGGUACCUGCAGAAGAAGCACCGGCUAACUACGUGCCAGCAGCCGCGGUAAUACGUAGGGUGCGAGCGUUAUCCGGAAUUAUUGGGCGUAAAGAGCUCGUAGGCGGUUUGUCGCGUCUGUCGUGAAAGUCCGGGGCUUAACCCCGGAUCUGCGGUGGGUACGGGCAGACUAGAGUGCAGUAGGGGAGACUGGAAUUCCUGGUGUAGCGGUGGAAUGCGCAGAUAUCAGGAGGAACACCGAUGGCGAAGGCAGGUCUCUGGGCUGUAACUGACGCUGAGGAGCGAAAGCAUGGGGAGCGAACAGGAUUAGAUACCCUGGUAGUCCAUGCCGUAAACGUUGGGCACUAGGUGUGGGGACCAUUCCACGGUUUCCGCGCCGCAGCUAACGCAUUAAGUGCCCCGCCUGGGGAGUACGGCCGCAAGGCUAAAACUCAAAGGAAUUGACGGGGGCCCGCACAAGCGGCGGAGCAUGCGGAUUAAUUCGAUGCAACGCGAAGAACCUUACCAAGGCUUGACAUGUUCUCGAUCGCCGUAGAGAUACGGUUUCCCCUUUGGGGCGGGUUCACAGGUGGUGCAUGGUUGUCGUCAGCUCGUGUCGUGAGAUGUUGGGUUAAGUCCCGCAACGAGCGCAACCCUCGUUCCAUGUUGCCAGCACGUAAUGGUGGGGACUCAUGGGAGACUGCCGGGGUCAACUCGGAGGAAGGUGAGGACGACGUCAAAUCAUCAUGCCCCUUAUGUCUUGGGCUUCACGCAUGCUACAAUGGCCGGUACAAUGGGUUGCGAUACUGUGAGGUGGAGCUAAUCCCAAAAAGCCGGUCUCAGUUCGGAUUGGGGUCUGCAACUCGACCCCAUGAAGUCGGAGUCGCUAGUAAUCGCAGAUCAGCAACGCUGCGGUGAAUACG
rnacentral:rRNA from 1 species